rnacentral:lncRNA from 1 species
GUGUCCCUAGGAUUUCUUUGAGGGUUCUUUCUUAGAUGUGCAGGCCAACUAUGGUUAGGAGGAUCGAUGCUACUUGGAUUUGGAGAGUACCUACCCAUCCCACAGUGGGACUCUUUCUCUGGAAGCUUGCAUAGGAUCGACUUUCAAUAUGCACGCUUCUCAGAGAUAGAGGUAUGGAGUUGCUUAUUUCAUGUUUGAUCUGCGAGCUGGAGGAUGAGUCGAUUGAGCAUACCAUCCUGUACUAUUUGAGGCUCGAGUUGAUUUGGAGGAGGAUAGGUGUUAGCCUUGGGAGACUACCAGAGACCAUUGGC